rnacentral:misc_RNA from 1 species
CGCGCUUCGGCGCGGCCAGCCGUCGUGGGGCGGUCUCUUCACUUUUCCUUCCGCCGCCCUCUCGGCGCCGGGACGGAGCACUAGCUGCGGGCUGUUGUGCGGUUCUACCCUCGCAGGGUACGAGUUUCGGCUUCCAGAUGGUUUCGGCUUUGCUCCGCCGAUACUUGUCGGCGGCGCAGCUGCUGUUUCCGGCUAAAUCAGUGUGCGACGGUUGCGGAUGCCCUGCCGCGCCGCACUCGGAUUUUGUGCCGUGCUCUCACGGAUGCGGUGCUCCAUUUGCGGUUCUGCGGGUCGUAGUUCCCCAGAACGCUUCGGGUUGUCCCGCGUGCAAAGCCGUCGCGGUCCCUUUUGCGUGCGUGAUGUCCCAUCCGACCGAACGAGCGAUUGCCGGCGCGCGUCCGACCGGUCUGCCCUUUGGGUGUUCCGGGGCGGCGCGCUGGCUCUCGUCUGAGGACGUGCUACCUGGUUGAUCCUGCA